rnacentral:sRNA from 1 species
UCGGACACUCUCGGUGACCUCUCUCUCG